GGCUUGUCUGAAGGUAGUUAUCUCAAUUGACUGUUCAGUCAGUUACAGAUGGAAGUCCUUGUUCUACUCUUUCCCGCCUUCUCACUACUGCACUUGACUAGUCUAAA
ensembl:misc_RNA Y_RNA Y RNA